rnacentral:rRNA from 1 species
UACGGAGGGUGCAAGCGUUGCUCGGAAUCACUGGGCGUAAAGGGCGUGUAGGCGGUCUCGUAUGUCUGACGUGAAAGCCCCGGGCUCAACCCGGGAAGUGCGUUGGAAACUGCGAGACUAGAGUCUCGGAGAGGAAGGUGGAAUUCCAGGUGUAGCGGUGAAAUGCGUAGAUAUCAGGAAGAACACCUAUGGCGAAGGCAGCUCUCUGGGACGGUACUGACGCUGAGACGCGAAAGCGUGGGGAGCGAACAGG